rnacentral:rRNA from 1 species
UACUCGAGUGGCGAACGGGUGAGUAACACGUGGGUGAUCUGCCUUGCACUCUGGGAUAAGCUUGGGAAACUGGGUCUAAUACCGGAUAGGAACCGUCUUUAGUGUGGUGGUUGGAAAGUUUUUUCGGUGCAAGAUGAGCUCGCGGCCUAUCAGCUUGUUGGUGGGGUAAUGGCCUACCAAGGCGCCGACGGGUAGCCGGCCUGAGAGGGUGUACGGCCACAUUGGGACUGAGAUACGGCCCAG